UCCCUGGUGGCUCAGAUGGUAAAGCGUCUGUCUACAAUGCAGGAGACCCGGGUUCGAUCCCUGGGUCGGGAA
rfam:Ovis aries breed Texel chromosome 15, whole genome shotgun sequence.